rnacentral:misc_RNA from 1 species
UCAAACUUGGUCAUUUAGAGGAAGUAAAAGUCGUAACAAGGUUUCCGUAGGUGAACCUGCGGAAGGAUCAUUAACAAAUCCUUUUUGUAUUUUUAUUGUUUUCUUUCUCUUUACAUUGUUGUUUAUUAUUUCUUUUGUUUUGAACAAAGGAUUAUAAUAGAUUAACAAUUGUGAAUGAACAAGGAACAAUAUAUUAUACAACAUACGUUCCAUGUACAGAUUACAUCAUUUGUGUCUUUUGUACAUGAUAACAUAUUUCUACGAAUUAACUGAUUGUACCAUAUAAUUAAUCAUAAAGAAUGACUUUUAACAAUGGAUCUCUAGGCUCUUGCAUCGAUGAAGAACGCAGC